GACGAACGCUGGCGGCGUGCCUAAUACAUGCAAGUUGAGCGCUGAAGGUUGGUACUUGUACCAACUGGAUGAGCAGCAAACGGGUGAGUAACGCGUGGGGAAUCUGCCUUUGAGCGGGGGACAACAUUUGGAAACGAAUGCUAAUACCGCAUAAAAACUUUAAACACAAGUUUUAAGUUUGAAAGAUGCAAUUGCAUCACUCAAAGAUGAUCCCGCGUUGUAUUAGCUAGUUGGUGAGGUAAAGGCUCACCAAGGCGAUGAUACAUAGCCGACCUGAGAGGGUGAUCGGCCACAUUGGGACUGAGACACGGCCCAAACGCCUACGGGAGGCAGCAGUAGGGAAUCUUCGGCAAUGGACGAAAGUCUGACCGAGCAACGCCGCGGGAGUGAAGAAGGGUGUCGGAUCGUAAAACUCUGUUGGUAGAGAAGAACGUUGGUGAGAGUGGAAAGCUCAUCAAGUGACGGUAACUACCCAGAAAGGGACGGCUAACUACGUG
rnacentral:rRNA from 1 species